rfam:Erinaceus europaeus unplaced genomic scaffold scaffold00063, whole genome shotgun sequence
AGCUCUGAACAGUGACAGUAUCGUAGCCAAUGAGGUUUAUCUGAGGUGUGAUUAUUGCUAACUGAAUAAAUAAUCAAAUCACUGUGCUUUUAAGUUUCUUCAGUUGUAAAAUGGGAAUGAUGUCCAUAGUAACAGCUC